rnacentral:SRP_RNA from 1 species
GCUGGGUGCAGUGAUGCAGGCCUGUAGUCCCGGGCACUUGGGAGGCUGAAGUGGGAGCAUUGCUUGAGCCCAGGAGUUCUGGGCUAAAGUGUGUUAUGCUGACCGUGUGUCUCCACUAAGUUCGGCAUCAAUCUGGUGACCUCCCAGGAGCGGGGGACCACCAGGUUGCCUCAGGAGGGGUGAACCAGCCCGGGUCAGAAACAGGGCUGGUCAAAACUCCCAUGCUGGUGAAUAGCAGGAUAGCACUUGUGAACGGCCAUGGUGCUCCAGCCUGGGCAAUGUAGCGAGAACU